CAAUAGCAUAUAUUAACGUUGUUGCAGUUGAAAAGCUCGUAGUUGAACUUUUGGUAGGAGCGACCUGGCCUUGGGCGCAUGCCCUUGUUUUGCCGUGUGUCGUAUCUGGCCAUCCUUUUCUUCUUCGGAAGGAAUCCUUUACUGUGAGUAAACUGGAGUGCUCAAAACAAGACGUUUGUUUGGUACAUUAAAGCAUGGAAUAAUAAGAUAGGACCUGGUUACUAUUUUGUUGGUUUGCAUAGCUAGGUAAUGAUUAACAGGGACAGUUGGGGGUAUUCGUAUUUAAUUGUCAGAGGUGAAAUUCUUGGAUUUAUGAAAGACGAACGACUGCGAAAGCAUUUACCAAGGAUGUUUUCAUUAA
rnacentral:rRNA from 1 species